GUCCAGACUCCUACGGGAGGCAGCAGUGGGGAAUAUUGCACAAUGGGGGAAACCCUGAUGCGGCGACGCCGCGUGAGUGAAGAAGUAUUUCGGUAUGUAAAGCUCUAUCAGCAGGGAAGAUAAUGACGGUACCUGAGUAAGAAGCCCCGGCUAACUACGUGCCAGCAGCCGCGGUAAUACGUAGGGGGCAAGCGUUAUCCGGAUUUACUGGGUGUAAAGGGAGCGUAGACGGCAUGGCAAGUCUGAAGUGAAAGCCCGGGGCUCAACCGCGGGACUGCUUUGGAAACUGUUAAGCUGGAGUGCAGGAGAGGUAAGUGGAAUUCCUAGUGUAGCGGUGAAAUGCGUAGAUAUUAGGAGGAGCACCAGUGGCGAAGGUGGCUUACUGGACUGUAACUGACGUUGAGGCUCGAAAGCGUGGGGAGCAAACAGGAUUAGAUACCCCAGUA
rnacentral:rRNA from 1 species